UUGAACUAACCUUGCUCCCUGGAAUAAAUUCUACUUGGUCAUGUUUCAAAAGUCUUAAAAGGCAGUGUCAGAACAGAAGAUUACAUGUGAAAAUCCUCAAGACUUAAAC
rnacentral:lncRNA from 1 species